CAAUAGCGUAUAUUAAAGUUGUUGCAGUUAAAAAGCUCGUAGUUGGAUUUGUGGUUUGUCCCGCCUGCUGGACCUUUUGGGUCUUUGCGGUGCGGGUCAUCCAUCCUUGGGUGGAAUCCCGGUGGCAUUAGGUUGUCGCCGGGGGGAUGCCCAUCUUUUACUGUGAAAAAAUUAGAGUGUUCAAAGCAGUCUUACGACGUUGAAUAUAUUAGCAUGGAAUAAUGAUAUAGGACUUUCGUACUAUUUUGUUGGUUUGCGCACGGAAGUAAUGAUUAACAGGGACAGUUGGGGGUAUUCGUAUUCCAUUGUAAGAGGUGAAAUUCUUGGAUUUUUGGAAGACGAACUACUGCGAAAGCAUUUACCAAGGAUGUUUUCAUUAA
rnacentral:rRNA from 1 species